rnacentral:lncRNA from 1 species
UUAAAUUUUCCCUUAAAAUUUGGGUUAUACAAGUAUCAAUUGCACUUAAAAUUUCCAUUUUCCCAGCCUAUCACGUGCUAGGGGGCGCAAUAUCGGUGGUGUUACUCUGAUCUAUUUCGGUCAAUUUAUGUGACUAGUGGGGGGGCUUCGUAAUUUCCUUUCGAGGCUGCAGGAGAUAUUUGCUAUGGCUGAUGUAGGCUAAGAAGUUGCGCCUCCCCGAGAGAUAGAGAGAGAGAGUCGUGGCCGGCGGAGAUAAAUGGGAACGCCUUCGCCUAAGGGGAAGCCGAAAGAAACCGUAGAAGUUUCUAGGGGCUUCUGGAACACCUGACGGGGACUGUG